rnacentral:rRNA from 1 species
CCUACGGGGGGCUGCAGUGGGGAAUAUUGGACAAUGGGGGGAACCCUGAUCCAGCCAUGCCGCGUGUGUGAAGAAGGCCCUCGGGUUGUAAAGCACUUUCAGUGAGGAAGAACGCCUGGUGGUUAAUACCCAUCAGGAAAGACAUCACUCACAGAAGAAGCACCGGCUAACUCCGUGCCAGCAGCCGCGGUAAUACGGAGGGUGCGAGCGUUAAUCGGAAUUACUGGGCGUAAAGCGCGCGUAGGUGGCUUGAUAAGCCGGUUGUGAAAGCCCCGGGCUCAACCUGGGAACGGCAUCCGGAACUGUCAAGCUAGAGUGCAGGAGAGGAAGGUAGAAUUCCCGGUGUAGCGGUGAAAUGCGUAGAGAUCGGGAGGAAUACCAGUGGCGAAGGCGGCCUUCUGGACUGACACUGACGCUGAGGUGCGAAAGCGUGGGUAGCAAACAGGAUUAGAUACCCCUGUAGUC